AGGGUUUGAUCAUGGCUCAGAACGAACGCUGGCGGCGUGGAUAAGACAUGCAAGUCGAGCGACAGACCAGGAAUUGAUUACUUCGGUUUGAUUUUCCUGACGAUGAGCGGCGAACGGGUGCGUAACACGUGAGAAAUCUGCCCUUAAGUUUGGGAUAGCCCUACGAAAGUAGGAUUAAUACCGGAUAAGGCCCUGGGAGGGCAUCUUCCCUUGGCUAAAGCUCGGUUAUAGAGCGCUUUUGGAUGAUCUCGCGGUCUAUCAGCUUGUUGGUGAGGUAACGGCUCACCAAGGCUAUGACGGAUAGCUGGUCUGAGAGGAUGAUCAGCCUCACUGGAACUGAGACACGGUCCAGACACCUACGGGUGGCAGCAGUCGAGAAUCAUUCACAAUGGGCGAAAGCCUGAUGGUGCGACGCCGCGUGGGGGAUGAAGGGCUUCGGUUCGUAAACCCCUGUCAUCUGUGAGUAAGACUCCCAAUAAAAGCUUGGGAGGUUGAUAUUAGCAGAAGAGGAAGGGACGGCUAACUCUGUGCCAGCAGCCGCGGUAAUACAGAGGUCCCAAGCGUUGUUCGGAUUUACUGGGC
rnacentral:rRNA from 1 species